rnacentral:rRNA from 1 species
GAUGAACGCUGGCGGCGUGCCUAAUACAUGCCAGUCGAGCGAACAGACGAGGAGCUUGCUCCUCUGACGUUAUCGGCGGACGGGUGAGUACCACGUGGAUAACCUCCCUAUAAGACUGGGCUAACUUCGGGAAACCAGAGCUAAUACCGGAUAAUAUAUUGAACCGCAUGGUUCAAUAGUGCAAGACGAUUUUGCUGACACUUCUAGAUGGAUCCGCGCCGCAUUAUCUAGUUGGUAAGGUGACGGCUUACCAAGGCAACGAUGGGUAGCCGACAUGAGAGGGAGAUCGGCCAAACUGGAACUGAGACUCGGUCCAGACUCCUAAGGGAGGCAGCAGUAGGGAAUCUUCCGGAAGGGGCGAAAGCCUGACGGAGCAACGCCGCGGGAGUGAUGAUGGUCUGCGGAUGGUAAAACGCUGUAAUUAGGGAAGAAGAAAUGUGUAAGUAACUAUGAACAUAUUGACGGUACCUAAUCAGAAAGCCACGGCUAACUACGUG